UACGGAAGGCAGCAGUGGGGAAUAUUGCACAAUGGGCGCAAGCCUGAUGCAGCCAUGCCGCGUGUAUGAAGAAGGCCUUCGGGUUGUAAAGUACUUUCAGUCGUGAGGAAGGUGUUAAGGUUAAUAACCUUAGCAAUUGACGUUAGCGACAGAAGAAGCACCGGCUAACUCCGUGCCAGCAGCCGCGGUAAUACGGAGGGUGCGAGCGUUAAUCGGAAUUACUGGGCGUAAAGGGCACGCAGGCGGUUAAUUAAGUUGGAUGUGAAAUCCCCGGGCUUAACCUGGGAAUGGCAUUCAAGACUGGUUAGCUAGAGUCUUGUAGAGGGGGUAGAAUUCCAUGUGUAGCGGUGAAAUGCGUAGAGAUGUGGAGGAAUCCGGUGGCGAAGGCGGCCCCUGGGACAAAGGACUGACGCUCAUGUGCGAAAGCGUGGGGAGCAAACAGGAUUAGAUACC
rnacentral:rRNA from 1 species